rnacentral:rRNA from 1 species
GUUGAACGCUGGCGGCAGGCCUAACACAUGCAAGUCGAGCGGAUGAGGGUAGCUUGCUACCUGAUUCAGCGGCGGACGGGUGAGUAAUGCCUAGGAAUCUGCCUGGUAGUGGGGGACAACGUUUCGAAAGGAACGCUAAUACCGCAUACGUCCUACGGGAGAAAGUGGGGGAUCUUCGGACCUCACGCUAUCAGAUGAGCCUAGGUCGGAUUAGCUAGUUGGUGGGGUAAAGGCUCACCAAGGCGACGAUCCGUAACUGGUCUGAGAGGAUGAUCAGUCACACUGGAACUGAGACACGGUCCAGACUCCUACGGGAGGCAGCAGUGGGGAAUAUUGGACAAUGGGCGCAAGCCUGAUCCAGCCAUGCCGCGUGUGUGAAGAAGGUCUUCGGAUUGUAAAGCACUUUAAGUUGGGUAGGAAGGGCAGUAAGUUAAUACCUUGCUGUUUGACGUUACCGACAGAAUAAGCACCGGCUAACUCUGUGCCAGCAGCC